rnacentral:rRNA from 1 species
GUCUACGGCCAUACCACCCUGAACGCGCCCGAUCUCGUCUGAUCUCGGAAGCUAAGCAGGGUCGGGCCUGGUUAGUACUUGGAUGGGAGAAGGCGGCCCAGGUAUGUCGCGCAUC